CUGCCCCCACAAGAAUGCUGUCAACUGAUCCAGGAAUUUGCGUGGUGUGCCUUUCCAGGUGCCCUCACCUCAGUGCAUCCAUCCAGACACAGCACUGACCCUGGCCGUGCUCAGAAAUGCCUCAGCCCUGAAGACACAACUGACAAAUGGAAGGGAGCCGCGCCCUGUUACAGCGGGUGCUCUCACUUUGUGGGUCCUUAUGUAACUGCGCGGUGUUAUUCAGGAUCGCCCUUUCUACACUGUGUGACGGUGCUGCGGUGUCUCCUAGUUAUUUGUUUCUGAUCUGAGAAGCAGGAGGAAGGAACUCAGGGAGAGAUCCAGGAAGACACCUGACUGUGUUAAGAGACGACAGUCACAGCGACACGGGGAGCAAAGACACUUGCAGCAAAGUAAAAUAACUUCACAACUAUUGC